GUUUCCUUCUCUCCUACAAUCAUAAGCUCAGCUUCCCUCAGGCCUUGCUGUACCACCAAUAUUAGCCACUUGGCUGAGAGAUUGGAGAGACAGGUUAAAAACAGUGCCUGAAUUGCUGCAUUAUGGAUUGAUCUUCCACCGCUGACAUCAACGGGACCUUUGCCAUUAACUUCAAUCCAAGGAAUGAAACAGAGUUCCGAAGUCAAUAGGCGAUACCAGUGCCUCUUGUCCAUUCUCCAGGAAUUUCACUUGAUCAGACUGUUUUCCAUUCCUACCACAACAGAGCAUUUAAUGAAAGUUACACCUCCUGCUCUUAGUGAAAACAUGCUCAAAUAUCCAUACAGCAUAACUAAACAAAAGAGUACUGUUGACAUCUGACAGGUCUGACAGGUGCAUUUUUAAACUGGAUUCAGCUUUGUCAUCGUGCAUAUAAAGGAGCAUUGAAGUUCACUUGUUCGAUGGAGUUCUGUGGAGGAAUCACAUGAUCAGUAAGAUGGCUACUGAUUAAGCAUCUGAAUGCUGAGACUAGAAAUGUGCCUUGAGACCAACAAUUCAGACCUGAAUCCCAAUUUCAACCCCCAUCUGUCGGUUUGUACUAGGUUUCAGUGCACACGCUCAAAGAGGAAGCAGGCAGCUGGAACUCGCUAGGCUGCCUAGCACUGGGGAAGGUUGCUCUAAUUAUUAUUUAUGUGCAGGUGGGGAAGGUUGUUGGCUCUAGAGGCGCGAGGAGGUUGUUGGUUGGUUCAGCAGAAGUUCUUCAUCUGCAAUGAGACAGUUGCCGAAAAAGUCUGGGAACUAGAUGAAAUGGGCUACAAUCUUCCUUUGAUUAAUGAGUUAAAGCGUAAAGUGCUUUAAAGAAGAAAUAAUAUUUCAAUAUUUGAUAUGUUUAUUCUUGCUGUGUUGAAUCUGGUUCGCAGGUGGUGACAAGGAAGUAACUUUCUCAGAAAGCAGAAGCUGAUUAGGAGGAAAUAGUGGGGAUUUUUUCCCCCCCUCAAUGAAGUGUCCCAUUGCAGGAGGACAUCCUGUGAGGCAAGCAAACCUACAGGUUUUUCUUCUCAGUUAGAUUUUAUGUGAGCUCAUGCUGUCUGUCCUAAGCUUGCAUAAUUGAGUACAAAAGGGUGUGUAUAUAUAUGUAAAUGUGUAUUGCUGCACUGACUCAAUACGGGCUCCAAAUGCAGUAUUGUCAUGAGUAAUAUCUUAUACUAUCCAUCUGUACUGUUUAGAUGCCCUGUUAAAUACACAUAGCUUUUCCUUUUUAAAACUAGACAUGACAAACCACUAGAAAACACCUGAGUCUUCCCUAUCUCUAACAUCUAAGAUUCUAAAGGCAACAGCUUGUUAGUAUAGAAAUGUAUAGAAUUGUAUUCUCCACACCUUGUGAGAACAGGCACCAGAGCUCAACUAUUAGCUCAUGCUCUGGGAUCAUGAUCAAACUAGGUCAAAAACAUGAAUUUAGGAACCACAAACUCAGAGAAAAAAGGUUCAGAGUGGCAUUAGGAAAGCUUAUCAAAGCAAUUUAGUGGCACGCUAGCACUGCUAUGUGCUUUUGCAGGGCAGGUCCAGCAUAGGAAAUGACUCCUGCUGCCUAAAUCUGUGGAGGUCAGGUGAUCACCAGAGUAAAGACUGAUUUUGUGGAAGGGAAGGGGCUUUCCUAUUUUCCUUUAAAAAAUGUAUAUUUAUCUUUUAACAUAUUGUGCGUCAAAAAAAAUCUUCCCUCUCAAUUCCUACUUGUUCAAUCCUCACCUAAAUUCAGAUGUCUUGGUUUACAGCAAAAUCGUCUCUCAACACAGCAGAGAUCUUAUAGAAAUGAAGCUUUGGCUGUUCAGUUAAUGUAUAGUGUCAUGUACAAUAUAGCAUAUUCACAGGAAGCUUGACCCAAAUGUUCAAAAUGGCAUGGAUGCAAACAAGCAUUGAAAUAUUUGCAUUAAAUUUGCAAGUGCCCAAAUUGCAUGGGCAACUCUGAUUAUCCAUUUGUGCAAUUAACUAAUUUGUACACUCUAUUGUCAUAACUAUGCAUAAAUCAGGCACAAAACUAUAUGGAUAUUCCAGCAGGUACACUUCUGUAAAUGUGUUCCACAACUUCUGAUAUAAAGGUAAAUCCCAGUCAUCUCGUUACAAGCAAUGGGAGAAUAAGCCCUAAAUAACACAUCUCAAAGUCCCAAAUUCAAUUAGGAUCAUGUAAAAUGAUCUAUCAGUGGAGGUAUUAUAUGCAGUUCCAUCAUAAUAUCAUAUCCUUUUUAGCUUGUGACAAACACCUGAACAAAAACACUUGGGAAUCAGGAGCAUUGGUUAAAUAAAUCCUGUUUCAGUGUGAUGAGAUUUGCUUUAAAAGACCUGACCCCUCCCCCAACAGCUAUUCCAAAAUAAUAGAAUAUUUAGCAUAGUGCCAAAUGUUUUCUUCCCCAUUCAAAGAUUAGAUGAAAAACAGACAGUCCUCAAAUUCAAGAGGUGAGCAACAGCCUAUGCUUGAAUACCCUGCUCCAGACUGGUUUAUUCAUGUAAGUGUUCAGGCACUGAAAUAUGUCAUUUGCUGUAUGUUUAGCACAAUAGCUUAUCUAAAUCCUCUCUCCCCACUCGCCUCAGGAACUGAAGUAUGUCACUGCAUUUCUUACCGCUCUGCAGGCUUCUGAAAUACUUAACUUCUUUUGGCCUGGUCCUACCUGAUGCUGAGGAUGCUUGGCUCCCAUUGUCUUCAACAGAAGUUGUGGGUGCUUGUCAUCUCUCAGGAUUAAUCGCUCUCUUCUUGCUAGGUUAAAAACUACAAGGCCAUCCCAGAAUGCAGAGAUGAUGUCAGUAUGUGGGGAUUAUGCACAUCUGAUUUAGUUUAGA